rnacentral:lncRNA from 1 species
AAUAUACAAUAGUGUUCAUGAUCAUGAAAAGUGGGAAGGGGAAAGCCUGUGUGGUUUUCAGUAUGAGAUAAAGAGCCCUUUAUCUGGGUGAUGAGCAUCAGAGUUGUAGGUGUGGGUGUUGUGGGGAGGAGGCAGAUGGAGUAUGUAAGACAGAUACUGACAGGUUUCAUUGAUUUAGUCCAUGAGAUGGCCAUUUAUGGAGGAGCACAUGUUAAGAUGUGGAAACUGGAGCUAACCAUAUGAGUUUGAAGAUACGUGUGUUUUGGUGAAGAACGUGUUGUUGUGUGUCAUGUUAGCUAUUUAGGUGAAGGAGCACUUAUAUAACUGUUGCUAUGCAAAAACAGUGUAUGCUUUUGCAUUUUCUACACUGUCAUGGUUUGAAUAAAAAUGGCCCCCGUAUAGGUUGAUAUUUUUGAUCUUCAGUUGGAGGAACUGUUUGGGAAGGAUUAGGAGGUAUGGCCUUGUUGGAGUUGGUUUGUUAUUGAAGAUGAGCUUUGAGGUUUCAAAAGCCCACCUUGUUCCCAGUUAUCUCUUUCUCUCUCACUGCCUUGAGUUUUUGAUAAGAUAUGAGCUCUUGGCUACUGCUCCAUCACCAUGUCUGCCUGCCUGCUGCCAUGUUCCCUUCCAUGAUGAUCAUAGACUGUAACCCUCUGAGAGUAAAAGCAAGCUCCAAUAAACUCUUUCUUUUGUAAGUUGCCUUUGUCAUGUCAUCUCUUCACAGGCAUAGAAAAGUAACAAAGGCCAACAUCUUCCCACUUCUUUAAACAUCAUGUAUACCCAAUAUCUUCAUUUCACGAGCUGUUUCAAUACUCUGUCAGAUCAUCAGCCAGGCACCUAACUUUUGGCUAGCUGAGGACCAAUACUAUUUUUCUGUGCUAUGACAAAUUACACUAUUCUUAGUGGCUUAAAAACAAGAGACUUGUUCGUUUCUGUUUCUCUAGGUUAGAAGUGCAGGGUAGGUCUGACCUCACUAACAUCAAGGGUCCGACAGAGUUGGUUCCUUUCUGGAAGCCAUACAGGAGAAUGGAUUUCCUUGCCUUUUCUACCUUCAUAGGCUGUUUUUAACUUGGCUUGUGCUGCUGCUUUCUUCAUCUUCAAAGCCAGCAGCAUCAGGUUGUGUCUUUCCCACACUGGAGCUCUGGACCUUCCUCACUUCAUCAUCUCUCCAUUCUAGAUGCUCUGUCCUGCCUCUCUCUGGUUACACAGGGCCUUAGAGACAAUGCAGAGUAAUCUCCUUUAAGUCCCCUUUGUCAUGCAGGGUUACACACGUUCACAGCCUCUGGGAUUGAAAACCCGAAUUCUAUUAGGAACUGUUAUUGUACAUACUAAUAAAUACCCCAAACAAAGGAAUCACCAAUUGAUGACCAAAAUGCAGUAGACUUCAUGUCCCAUUAUUUGCUGGUUGUGCUUAGGGACCGGCCAGGAAAUAGACUGUUGGGCACUGCAGUUACCAUCAAAAUAGAUCUGGUGAUUUAAUGUUACUGGCAGAAUUAGUUAUGUGGACUUGAACGAAAAUAAGUAGAAACAACAUAUGAUUUCAUUAUUUCAUUCUAAAAGUAGAAGGAGUCUUAAGCCUCCCAUUGGUGGGAGGAAAAACAGGAGUAAAAAAAGGGAUCCACACUUGGGGAGAAUUCCAGCAAGCUAAUUAAUAUGGUGCUGAUUACCCUGAAAUGUUCUCAAUCUAAAAAUCAUUAUAGAUUGCCAAGCAAGAAAAUGUAAUGGAAUUUACUCUUAGGAUGGCAAGAUGGCUCACUGGUUAGAGCAAGUUACCACAUAAACCUUGUGACUAGGACUAGGGCCACAGAACCCAGGUAGAGGGAAAAUAAAGAACGGACUCCAAAAAGCUUUCCUCUGACAGACACCCAUACACUAGUGUGAUGCACAUUCUCUCUUUCUCUUUCCCUCUCCUUCCUCCCUCUCUCCCCAUCUCCAUUUCGCUUUCUUCCCCACUCAUUCAUACCCACAGGCACACAUACACCUACAAAUACAUAUAAUUACAAUUUAUUUUUUUAGAAAUUUCUUUUUAUUUCUAAGGAGUAACCUCAAGAUGAUAUUUCGAUGAACAUACAUGGUUUUCAGAAAACAUGACAGGAAUUUUUUU